rnacentral:rRNA from 1 species
AUUGAACGCUGGCGGCAGGCCUAACACAUGCAAGUCGAACGGUAGCACAGAGAGCUUGCUCUCGGGUGACGAGUGGCGGACGGGUGAGUAACGUCUGGGAAACUGCCCGAUGGAGGGGGAUAACUACUGGAAACGGUAGCUAAUACCGCAUAACGUCGCAAGACCAAAGUGGGGGACCUUCGGGCCCCACACCAUCGGAUGUGCCCAGAUGGGAUUAGCUAGUAGGUGGGGUAAUGGCUCACCUAGGCGACGAUCCCUAGCUGGUCUGAGAGGAUGACCAGCCACACUGGAACUGAGACACGGUCCAGACUCCGACGGGAGGCAGCAGUGGGGAAUAUUGCACAAUGGGCGCAAGCCUGAUGCAGCCAUGCCGCGUGUAUGAAGAAGGCCUUCGGGUUGUAAAGUACUUUCAGCGGGGAGGAAGGCGGUGAAGUUAAUAGCUUCACCGAUUGACGUUACCCGCAGAAGAAGCACCGGCUAACUCCGUGCCAGCCGCCGCAGUAA